CAGAGAUGGCUGAGUUGGUCUAAGGCGCACGACUGGAAAUCGUGUAUGCAUGGAAGUGCAUCAAGGGUUCGAAUCCCUUUCUCUGC
rnacentral:tRNA from 1 species